CAAUAGCGUAUAUUAAAGUUGUUGCAGUUAAAAAGCUCGUAGUUGGAUUUGUGGCGUACGGUGUGUUCCGGGCACUUGUUGUCUGAGUAACCUGCUGUUGCCAUCCUUGGGUGGAACCUGUGUGGCAUUAGGUUGUCGUGCAGGGGAUGCCCAUCAUUUACUGUGAAAAAUUAGAGUGUUCAAAGCAGGCUUAUGCCGUUGAAUAUAUUAGCAUGGAAUAAUGAGAUAGGACUUUUUUGCUAUUUUGUUGGUUUGCGCAAGAAGGUAAUGAUUAAUAGGGACAGUUGGGGGUAUUCGUAUUCCAUUGUCAGAGGUGAAAUUCUUGGAUUUUUGGAAGACGAACUACUGCGAAAGCAUUUACCAAGGAUGUUUUCAUUAA
rnacentral:rRNA from 1 species